rnacentral:misc_RNA from 1 species
GAAAGACGAGGGAUGGAGAUUGAAAGGGUUGAGGGAAAGAAAAAGCAAGGGUUUUGGAACUGUGAAGGGUUUUAAUGAUUUGAUUAAGUUAUGGAGCGAAUAUCGGGAUCUUUAAUAGGAAGAAGAAGAUAUCGUGCAGAGAUUUGAUUGGGUAAAUGCAUUUAUGCAUAUCAAUAGAAAGAAAUUGAGUAUGAGGGUUAUAGAUGGAGAGUAAGACUGAUAUAUAGAAAGAAAUUGACUCGCAGACGGAGACGAAGACUGCUA